rnacentral:tRNA from 1 species
UCCGAUGUGGUGUAGUGGCUAGCAUUUAUCGCUCUCAUAGAAUCUCGUGUUCUUAGGGUCCGAUAAGACCGGGGUUCAAUUCCCCGCAUCGGAA